UAUAUAUAUAUAUAUAUGUAUAUAUUUCACACACAAUUCCUCUGGUACUUUGUUUCACUUUGAAUUUGUCAGGAUCCAACUUGUAUAUUAAGAUUGCCUGUCUGUGUCUAUAGAGCUGUCAAUCAAUCCUAGCCCUCCCUGGAUGUGGAGACUCAUGCAGCAUCAAUGUCAGCCAACAAGUGUCUUUUGAAGGCGUGAAGAAAUCUGUGGCUGAACUGAAACAGCGAUUGGAGGACAUCUGCAAAGGGACCUUCGUAAAAAUCUCUAAAAAAGUACAGGAUGUUCAUAUUCUGCAGGCAUCAAAUCCCAGUCCACUUCUACCCCAAGUAAAAGAAAAGUUUGUGGAGAGUAAAGUACCAACAACAAGGGAGGAGUUUUUGAAAUAUGCCUGUCAGCUCACAUUGGACCUAAACACCGCACAUAAAAACCUCCUUCUCUCCAAAGACAACAAAGAGGCUGUAUGGAAGGAUGUGGCACUGCCUUAUCCGGACCACCCAGAGAGAUUUGUAAACAAUGCUGUAGUACUGUGUAGAGAGGCUCUGUCAGGCUGCUGUUACUGGGAAGUUGAAUGGAGUGGAGUACAGGUUGUUAUGGGUGUUGCAUAUAAGGGGAUAAACCGAAAGAAGUGUCCUAGUCAUGAUCAUUUUGAUUGGAUUUUAAACUUUCAUGAACAGACCUGGAGUUUGGAUGUGUUUGGUCGCUGUGUUUGGGAGAAUACUAAACAGACUAAACAACUACCUUUUUGGCCUUCUAAGAAAAUAGGGCUCUACUUGGAUCACAAGGCUGGAACGCUAACGUUCUAUAACAUUACUGACACAAUGACCCUCCUCUAUAGAGUACAAACUACAUUCACUCAACCACUCUAUCCUGUUUUCUGGAUAAAAGUACAGUCCAGGAUGAAAUUGUGCCGCAUGAAAUAAAUGAAAAUGAUUAUUAUAAAAAUAUGAUGCUUUUUGAAAUCCUCUUUUUACAUUGAAAAGAAGUAUGGGGGUUUGUCUGUUUGGGAUUAUAAACGGCACCCACUUCUAACGGCAAUCAUUUACACCAAAUUAUACAAAUUAUAUGCUGUAUGAGUAAGAAGGAAGUAUACCAA